rnacentral:rRNA from 1 species
ACCCGCUGAACUUAAGCAUAUCAUAUAAGCGGAGGAAAAGAAACCAACUGGGAUUGCCCUAGUAACGGCGAGUGAAGCGGCAACAGCUCAAAUUUGAAAUCUGGCUCCCUUUGGGGGUCCGAGUUGUAAUUCGCAGAGGGUGCUUUGGCGUUGGUGGCGGUCUAAGUUCCUUGGAACAGGACAUCGCAGAGGGUGAGAAUCCCGUAUGUGGUCGCCUGCCUUCGCCGUGUAAAGCCCCUUCGACGAGUCGAGUUGUUUGGGAAUGCAGCUCUAAAUGGGAGGUAAAUUUCUUCUAAAGCUAAAUACCGGCCAGAGACCGAUAGCGCACAAGUAGAGUGAUCGAAAGAUGAAAAGCACUUUGGAAAGAGAGUCAAACAGCACGUGAAAUUGUUGAAAGGGAAGCGCUUGCAGCCAGACUUGCCCGUAGUUGCUCACCUGGAUUUCUAUCCGGGGCAUUCUUCUGCGGGCAGGCCAGCAUCAGUUUGGGCGGUCGGAUAAAGGCCUCUGUCAUGUAUCUUCCUUCGGGAUGACCUUAUAGGGGAGGUGUAAUGCGAUCAGCCCGGACUGAGGUCCGCGCUUCGGCUAGGAUGCUGGCGUAAUGGCUGU